GAUGAACGCUGGCGGCGUGCUUAACACAUGCAAGUCGAACGGGAAACCUUUUAAUGAAGCUUCGGCAGAUUUAGCUGGUUUCUAGCGGCGGACGGGUGAGUAACGCGUGGGUAACCUGCCUUAUACAGGGGGAUAACAGUCAGAAAUGACUGCUAAUACCGCAUAAGCGCACAGGACCGCAUGGUCCGGUGUGAAAAACUCCGGUGGUAUAAGAUGGACCCGCGUUGGAUUAGCUUGUUGGUGGGUAACGGCUCACCAAGGCGACGAUCCAUAGCCGGCCUGAGAGGGUGAACGGCCACAUUGGGACUGAGACACGGCCCAGACUCCUACGGGAGGCAGCAGUGGGGAAUAUUGCACAAUGGGGGAAACCCUGAUGCAGCGACGCCGCGUGAAGGAAGAAGUAUCUCGGUAUGUAAACUUCUAUCAGCAGGGAAGAUAGUGACGGUACCUGACUAAGAAGCCCCGGCUAACUACGUG
rnacentral:rRNA from 1 species